UGCAGAGGGAAGAUGAAACACCACUAUAGAAAGCAGAGGACAACCAACUUCGUCUCCGGAAAGAUCCAGAAACUCCAUCCUAGACAGCUAUCAACCAAAACCUCAGUCCUCAAACUCUGAGUAAAGAAUGAAGACCCUGAGUGUGUUACUGCUGUUCGCCCUGCUGGGUGUCCUGUUAGCAAACCCGUUCAUUGACCGCCUGCAGCAAAAUGCUAAACAACAGGAGGCUGAAGAGAGGACCGAGAACCAGCCACUUCAAAUUAUGUAUAGAAUGUUUUGUAGCUGGCCUUGUUUGCCUUAUUAUAAAAAAGUGACAAGAUACGGUCAUUGCUAUUGUGAAAAGAAAACAGAUCCUGUAAAGACAAUUGUGAAGGCACUUCAUCAUAAGGGAUGAGCUAAUGCAGACAUUGAAGAUGCAGACAUUGAGGAUCCUCUCCCGUCACCUGAUGGAAUGGAACUCACACUUCACCUUUCGUCAUCACCAACACAUACGUGACCAUAACGCUAUCCACAUGUAUUUACAACUAUAAAGGAAAUAAUAGUAGUGGUAGUGGUAGUAGUAGUAGUAAUAAUAGUGGUAGUGGUAGUAGUAGUAGUAGUAGUAGUAUUUUUG